GCCUGGGUGGCUCAGUCGGUUAGGCAUCUGACUUCAGCUCAGGUCAUGAUCUCAUGGUUUGUGAGUUCAAGCCCCACCUGGGGCU
rfam:Felis catus isolate Cinnamon breed Abyssinian chromosome C1, whole genome shotgun sequence.